GAAGAUGACGUGGGGAGACAAUACCUGUUCUUUAAUUGAGUGUGAUGCAAACUGAGGCAGAAGAAAUUAAGUAACUUGCCCAAGAUCAUAAUCCACUUCAUUGAACUCUGGCACAUCCAUUAAAGAAUGAGCAAUUUCAAA